CCCCAACAAAAAAACCCUAGCCUUCCCCUUCUCCAUCUUCAUCCUCCUAGCCGCCAUCUGAGGUUCUGAAAACACCAGAGGCGGACGACCCCUCAUUUAAAAAAAAAAAACAAAAAACCCUAGCAGCUCCUCCAUCAACUCCAACAACGCAUUUUCUCACUCAAGACGUUCAAUCUCACCCUCAUUUCACUCAUACAUAGAUCUAAAAGAGAAGAGAGAUUCUUCAAAUUUCAAAAAAAUCGAAUCCGAAAAUAAAGGGUCUAAAAAGGGAAGAUGAAUGUUUGAUGAAGAUUUGAAUUCUAAUGGAUUGUUAGAAACGUUAAGGCUUAAAGACUUUUUCUGGAUUCCUAUCAGUGCUGUUCAAAGUCUAAGUUGCCGAUUUUCGCUGAAGCUAGGCUCCAAUUUGAAGAACCUCGUAUUUAUUCGGCUUUCGAUCUAGUUUGCUUUUUGUUCUUGCUUCAAACAACUUUAUUUUGUCCGCUGUUGUUGAGUUAAAGGAUGGAUCUGGGCUAAGUGACGCAAGGAUUGGAAAAGAAAACCAUAGAGGGCAGCUGAGAAAUUGUGAGCAAUUAUAGAGUUUUUCUUUCAAAAGACAAACAGUUAUGAAGCAGCCUAUGCUUCUCGUUGUUCUAAGAUAUUUCAUCCAUCAUUUCUGGGUGUGCAAAGUUUGAUUCGAUCUAUUUUGUUGCUGUCGUUGCUGCUAUUCCACUGUUGAGCUCCAACACUUCAUUUGAUAGCCUUUAGUUGGUCUUUUCAGCUUGUUUUGAACACUAGGUGCACACAUAAUCCCAUGUAUUUAUGUUUGAGUUGUAUAAUUGAAUCACCUAGCUUCCCUCAUUGAUUGAAUGUUGAAUUUAUGCUCCUGUUAUGGUGUAAUUCAACUAUUUCUGGUAGUA